rnacentral:rRNA from 1 species
GACGAACGCNGGCGGCGUGCUUAACACAUGCAAGUCGAACGAAGAGCGAUGGAAGCUUGCUUCUAUCAAUCUUAGUGGCGAACGGGUGAGUAACGCGUAAUCAACCUGCCCUUCAGAGGGGGACAACAGUUGGAAACGACUGCUAAUACCGCAUACGAUCUAAUCUCGGCAUCGAGGAUAGAUGAAAGGUGGCCUCUACAUGUAAGCUAUCACUGAAGGAGGGGAUUGCGUCUGAUUAGCUAGUUGGAGGGGUAACGGCCCACCAAGGCGAUGAUCAGUAGCCGGUCUGAGAGGAUGAACGGCCACAUUGGGACUGAGACACGGCCCAGACUCCUACGGGAGGCAGCAGUGGGGAAUCUCCCGCAAUGGACGAAAGUCUGACGGAGCAACGCCGCGUGAGUGAUGACGGCCUUCGGGUUG